rnacentral:tRNA from 1 species
GCGGGUGUAGCUCAGCUGGUUAGAGCGCCUGCCUGUCACGCAGGAGGCCGAGGGUUCAAGUCCCUUCACUCGCGCCA